rnacentral:lncRNA from 1 species
CAUAGAACGAUUCCGGCCAUUCGUACUUCCUGUCCUAAGAUGGCCUCAUAGAUAAUGAUGAUGGAAGAGAGAAAAUUGAAUGUCUCUCACAAGGUGGCCAUGGCAACCGAGAGCAGAAUAAUAUCAAUAAUAAGCUCACUGCAUAAUAAGGUUGUCAGUCCUACAAAUCAAAGUCUGCAGCUAAAUCAGGUAUACCACCCCAGCUAGUUACCAGUAGCAGAUACGGUUUCAUGAAGGACCGGCUAACUAGCCAUAUUGAACUGUGGAGUGAGCCUGUGGGUGAGCUCCCCUCCCGCUAGCCUCCUCCUCACUCUCCCCUCUGUGUGCCCUGCUGCAUCCUGCCUAGAUGCAAGAGCAGCUCACCCGCCGCCGGAGGCUUCCACCUUGGCUCCCAGGGGGACAUCCUGCAAAAUGAAUCAGCAGCCAUCCUGAGCAGGCUGAUUAAAAUGAAAAUGGCAAGGCACAUGUCUGGGCGGAACUGGAGCUCGGCUUUGUUGCCUGUCUGACAAGCACGCUCAAUAUAGCUCUUGCUAAUAAUGGCUUACUGCCUUUCGGUUUUUAAAAAGCCCAAAGCUAGAAGCAGCCCAGGUGAAGCCUGCUCCUGCUUGAAGCUUUUCUACCAGACUGUCUCCAUUCUCCGGAUCUCAUGCAGCAUACAGUCUGAACAUGGGAAAAUAGAAGCCACUGAAUGCUGCAGUUGGACAAAGUUUAUUGCAAA